AACGAACGCUGGCGGCAGGCUUAACACAUGCAAGUCGAGCGCCCAGCAAGGGGAGCGGCAGACGGGUGAGUAGCGCGUGGGAACGUACCAUCUGGUUCGGAACAACUCCGGGAAACUGGAGCUAAUACCGGAAAAGCCCUCACGGGGCAAGAAUUAUCGUCGAACGAGCGGCCCGCGUCUGAUAAGCUAGUUGGUGAGGUAACGGCUCACCAAGGCGACGACCAGUAGCUGGUCUGAGAGGAUGAGCAGCCACACUGAGACUGAGACACGGCCCAGACUCCUACGGGAGGCAGCAGUGGGGAAUGUUGGACAAUGGGCGCAGGGCUGAUCCAGCCAGGCCGCGUGAGUUAUGAAGUCCGUAGGGUAGUAAAGCUCUUGUGUCCGGGAAGAUAAUGACUGUACCGGAAGAAUAAGCCACGGCUAACUUCGUG
rnacentral:rRNA from 1 species